AGCGAACGCUGGCGGCAGGCUUAACACAUGCAAGUCGAGCGGGCACUUCGGUGUCAGCGGCCGACGGGUGAGUAACACGUGGGAACGUACCCUUUGGUUCGGAAUAACGCUGGGAAACUAGCGCUAAUACCGGAUACGCCCUUUUGGGGAAAGGCUUGCUGCCGAAGGAUCGGCCCGCGUCUGAUUAGCUAGUUGGUGGGGUAAUGGCCUACCAAGGCGACGAUCAGUAGCUGGUCUGAGAGGAUGAUCAGCCACACUGGGACUGAGACACGGCCCAGACUCCUACGGGAGGCAGCAGUGGGGAAUAUUGGACAAUGGGCGCAAGCCUGAUCCAGCCAGGCCGCGUGAGUGAUGAAGGCCUUAGGGUUGUAAAGCUCUUUUGUCUGGGACGAUAAUGACGGUACCGGAAGAAUAAGCCCCGGCUAACUUCGUG
rnacentral:rRNA from 1 species